CCCUACGGGAGGCAGCAGUGGGGAAUAUUGCGCAAUGGGGGCAACCCUGACGCAGCCAUGCCGCGUGUGUGAAGAAGGCCUUCGGGUUGUAAAGCACUUUCAGAGGGGAGGAAAGGCUCAGGGCUAAUAUCCCUGGGAGUUGACGCUACCCUCAGAAGAAGCACCGGCUAAUUCCGUGCCAGCAGCCGCGGUAAUACGGAAGGUGCAAGCGUUAAUCGGAAUUACUGGGCGUAAAGCGCGCGUAGGCGGCUUGGUAAGUCGGGUGUGAAAGCCCCGGGCUCAACCUGGGAACUGCACUCGAUACUGCCGGGCUAGAGUACGAGAGAGGGGGGUGGAAUUCCAGGUGUAGCGGUGAAAUGCGUAGAGAUCUGGAGGAACACCGGUGGCGAAGGCGGCCCCCUGGUUCGAUACUGACGCUGAGGUGCGAAAGCGUGGGGAGCAAACAGGAUUAGAUACCCCAGUAGUCC
rnacentral:rRNA from 1 species